AGAAGCAGAGAAGGGAGGCUCUCCUAAGAGGAGCAGAGCCCGUGCGCACAGCUGAUGCACCAGCUGCUGCUGCUGUCGCACCGCCAGCCCGUGAACCAGCGGCGGCAGCCCCAGCUGCAGCAGCUGCCGCAACUGGUGCUGCUCCUAGCAAGUAUGUCCCGAAGUGGAGACGUGAGGGUGACAGUAGCAGUCAGAGGCCGGCUGUGGCAGCUGAACCAGACAGGUGGGUCCGGGAUGAUCGUCCUCGCCCUGCUCUCCGCCAGGAGGCUCCUCCUAUGCGCGAUGCUCGUCCCAUCCGCCAAGAAGCUCCUCCUGCACGUGAUGCGCGUCCCUUCCGCCAGGAGGCUCCCCCUGCCAUGCGCCAAGAGGCGCCCCCUGCUGCCCGCCAGCCGGACGGUGCUGCUCCAGCUGCAUCUACUGAACGCUGGCGUCCUGGAUCUAGGACCUCUGCAAAUUCCUCAUCCACCUCCUCGUCCACCGGCUGGAGGCGCUGAAGCUGCCUGGCCUGAAAUGCGCUGUGCUCUGCCUGCUGUAUGAGAUUUUUGCCGUCCAUCUUCCAAGUCUGGGAGCUUCAUGCACAAUGGAAGCCUGCCACUGAUAUCUGGAAGCACGGUUACUUGAAUUUGCUUGUUGCGCACCUAAAUUUUCGAAUUGCAACUUUGCACUAUUUCUCAGUCAUGUUUGAUGUUUUGAGAGUCACGGUACUCAAUGCAUAAUGUGUUGCUCUUUGUUGUCGUUUAUGUUCCAGACUAUGCUGUUGGUUCGUCGAGUAUGCAUAAUGAAAGCUACCGCUGAAUUUUUGUGAUCCUCAG
rnacentral:lncRNA from 1 species